UACGGAGGAUGCGAGCGUUAUCCGGAUUUAUUGGGUUUAAAGGGUGCGCAGGCGGGAGAUUAAGUCGGCGGUGAAAUUUUGCAGCUCAACUGUAAAAGUGCCUUCGAAACUGGUUUCCUUGAGUUUGGUUAAGGUAGGCGGAAUGUGUAAUGUAGCGGUGAAAUGCUUAGAUAUUACACAGAACACCAAUUGCGUAGGCAGCUUACUGAGCCGACACUGACGCUGAGGCACGAAAGCGUGGGGAUCGAACAGGAUUAGAUACCCGUGUAGUCCCU
rnacentral:rRNA from 1 species